rnacentral:rRNA from 1 species
UACGGAAGGCAGCAGUGGGGAAUAUUGCACAAUGGGCGAAAGCCUGAUGCAGCUAUGCCGCGUGUAUGAAGAAGGCCUUAGGGUUGUAAAGUACUUUCAUCGGGGAGGAAAAAACAAAACUAAUAAUUUUAUUUCUUGACGUUACCCGAAAAAGAAGCACCGGCUAACUCCGUGCCAGCAGCCGCGGUAAUACGGAGGGUGCUAGCGUUAAUCAGAAUUACUGGGCGUAAAGAGCACGUAGGUGGUUUUUUUAAGUCAGAUGUGAAAUCCCUGGGCUUAACCUGGAACUGCAUUUUGAAACUGAAAUACUAGAGUAUCGUAGAGGGAGGUAGAAUUCUAGGUGUAGCGGUGAAAUGCGUAGAUAUCUGGAGGAAUACCUGUGGCGAAAGCGGCCUCCUAAACGAAUACUGACACUGAGGUGCGAAAGCGUGGGGAGCAAACGAGGAUUAGAUACC